GACGAGGGACCUAGCGUUGUUCGGAAUCAUUGGGCGUAAAGCGGGUGUAGGCGGGCUUAUAAGUCAGGUGUGAAAUCCCAGGGCUCAACCCUGGAAGUGCAUUUGAUACUGUAAGUCUUGAGUGUGGUAGAGGUUACUGGAAUUCCUGGUGUAGUGGUGAAAUACGUAGAUAUCAGGAGGAAUACCGGAGGCGAAGGCGGGUAACUGGGCCAACACUGACGCUGAGAAUCCGAAAGCGUGGGGAUCAAACAGG
rnacentral:rRNA from 1 species